rnacentral:misc_RNA from 1 species
GAUGAAGAACGCAGCGAAAUGCGAUAAGUAGUGUGAAUUGCAGAAUUCAGUGAAUCAUCGAAUCUUUGAACGCACAUUGCGCCCCUUAGUAUUCCAUGGGGCAUGCCUGUUCGAGCGUCAUUUGUACCUUCAAGCUCUGCUUGGUGUUGGGUGUUUGUCCUUGCUCUAGUGGCGGGACUCGCCUUAAAGUAAUUGGCAGCCAGUGUUUUGGUUUUGAAGCGCAGCACAAGUCGCGAUUCAAGUCUAUACGCUAGUUUCCACAAGUCUUUUAUCACUUUUGACCUCGGAUCAGGUAGGGAUACCCGCUGAACUUAAGCAUAUCAAUAAGCGGAGGA